UACGAAGGGGGCUAGCGUUGCUCGGAAUCACUGGGCGUAAAGCGCACGUAGGCGGCUUUGUAAGUUAGAGGUGAAAGCCCGGGGCUCAACUCCGGAACUGCCUUUAAGACUGCAUCGCUUGAAUCCAGGAGAGGUGAGUGGAAUUCCGAGUGUAGAGGUGAAAUUCGUAGAUAUUCGGAAGAACACCAGUGGCGAAGGCGGCUCACUGGCCCGGUACUGACGCUGAGGUGCGAAAGCGUGGGGAGCAAACAGG
rnacentral:rRNA from 1 species